rnacentral:rRNA from 1 species
CCUACGGGUGGCAGCAGUGAGGAAUAUUGGUCAAUGGCCGGAAGCCUGAACCAGCCAAGCCGCGUGAAGGACGACGGUCCUAAGGAUUGUAAACUUCUUUUGUCGGGGGACAAAAGCUCCCUCGAGUGGCCGACUGAGUGUACUUGAAGAAAAAGCAUCGGCUAACUCCGUGCCAGCAGCCGCGGUAAUACGGAGGAUGCGAGCGUUAUCCGGAUUUAUUGGGUUUAAAGGGUGCGUAGGCGGGCAGUAAAGUCAGCGGUAAAAGUCCGGGGCUAAACUCCGUAGAGCCGUUGAAACUGGCUGUCUUGAGAGGGCGAGAGGUAGGCGGAAUGCGUGGUGUAGCGGUGAAAUGCUUAGAUAUUACGCAGAACUCCGAUUGCGAAGGCAGCAUACCGGCGACGUACUGACGCUGAGGCACGAAAGCGUGGGUAUCGAACAGGAUUAGAUACCCCAGUAGUC